GGGCCAGUAGCUCAGGUGGUUAGAGUACAUCCCUGAUAAGGAUGGGGUCGGUGGUUCAAGUCCACCCUGGCCCA